ACUCUUCUAGUAUAUUAAUUACAAUGGACUUCCAAUCCUUAGAAUCUGGCUUAAACCCAGAGAAGAGUA
rnacentral:tRNA from 1 species